rnacentral:tRNA from 1 species
GCCUGACUGGCUUAGUUGGUAGAGCAUGAAACUCUUGAUCUUGGGGUUGUGAGUUCGAGCCCCACAUUGGGUG